rnacentral:lncRNA from 10 species
UGAAAUCCAAAAUGCUCCAAUGAACAUUUCCUUUGAGUGUCAUGUCAGCACUCAGAAAGUUUCAGAUUUUGGAACAUUUUGAAUUUUGAAUUCUCAAAUUAGAAUUAGGGAUGCUCAACAUAUAGUAUAAGCAUUACAAUUUCUUACUCCACAUAUUUUGACCUACCUUUCCUAAAUUGUUUUUGUCUCUCUAUGCUUCAUUUUGGAAAACUGUUUGAACCUGCUUUGAGUCACUAAUUCUCUCUUCAGCUGUCUAAUUUACUGUUUCAUCCAUCUCCUGAGUUUUAAUUUUAAUUGUUAUAUUUUUCUGUUUCUAAAAGUUACAUUUGAUUCACUUUUGAAAUCUAGUUGGCCUCCUUUAUAAUCUUUGGUCUUGAUAAUUUUUAAAGUCAGAUUUUCAUUUAUUUAAGCCCAGCAAAUUUUUCUUUAUAGGCUUCACAUGAUGAUUCCAAUAUCUAAAGCAUUUUCAGGUGUGAUUUUGAUUUUUUUUCCCUGAGGCUGGAGAUUAAUAAAGAGAGAAACAGUAGUUUGCUGUGUGAGAUUAUUCCAAAGAAAAGAGCCCAUUUCUUGAAUGGAAUUCCAGCCAGAGGGUGGAGGGGCUAAUCCUAGGAACUAGGUUUGAGAAGAAGGUAAAAGGCCCCGACCUAGCCCUUUCUGUCCCUUUCUCUUUCUUUAUGGUAUCUACAUUGAAAAACACAAAAUGGGAAAGCCAUUUAUCUCUCAGGCCACUGGGCCAUGGCUCUCUGAUCCUCCGAGAAAUAGCCCUUGGAGCCUGAGAAUGCUCCCUGAUUGACUCUUUACUGAAAAACUCAAAAAUAAAUGAAACUCCUAGAGCCUGGGAUUAAUCUUAUUUUUUGUUUGCAGAGUCACAUGUGGAAGAAGUAUGUCAUUUUCAUGCUGGCUGUAUCUUGCCAGUACUCUUAGAGUUCUGCUAGAGAAAUAUCACAUUCCCCACCUCUGCUAGCCAGGUAGCAAAAAGAACCAGGGGUGGGAGAAAUGGAAGAUGUCUUAGGAAGAGCCAAUUCUAAAUGAGAAUUGUAAGCAAAGUUUAUUUAAUGCAUAUCCAACAGCCAUUUCUCCUUUGACCCUCCUAAAAGAACCUGACAUUGUUCAGCUAUCCACUUUCAGAGGGCUUACUCUUCAGGGGAGACCAUGGUUGUUUCUUCAUUCUUGACAAGAGAUGCAAGAUUCUUCCUUUGGACAUUGUCAUUUCUGGAUGGGAUGCCUGGAAAGACUGCAGCCAACUUCUGACCACAAGAGGAAUCAGCCUGAAGAAACAGCCAGCCCAUGGAAUAAAUCAGAGUCAGGAGAAUCACAAGGAGAGGGACCAGGGUCCCCACAAACCAAGCUGGCUCUGCCUGCAGCUUCCCAUGUCAGAAAAUAAACCCCCUUAUUGUUUAAAACUCUUGAGUCAGGGUUUUCUGUGACUUGUAACCAAAACAUCCUAACUGAUUCAGAGGUAGGAAAGAACACUUUAAAAUCAGAGCCAUAGAAUGGAAGAGAACUAAGAGACAGGUUAACCCGCAGACUUUCCACAUCAGGAAACUGAGACUGGCUCCAUUGCUAAUUCCUGUCACCACAGUUAAUACUGGAUUUGACCUUAUGACUGGUUUGGCCAAUGGAAACUGAUGUAAACAUUUGGCCAUUGUCAACUGAAGUGAUACAUGCUGCCACUGAGCAGGAACUGGAAGAAUGAGUGUGUGCUUUCAGAGCUGCCUUUUACCCUCUUCUACUAGAAAGAGGUGAUUCCAUCAACCUGGUUCAGAAAUGUAAACUGAUAUAGAGGAGAACUGCAGGCUUCCUACUCUGUGAAUGGCAUGUAUUGUGGGUAAGAAAUAAACCUUUAUACAUGUAAGAUACUGAGAUUUUGGGGACAGAGUGUUGUUACUGAAGCAAAAUCCAGUGAAAGCUGAUCUAUACAUUAAAGUUAAUUAAUAGG